GGGUUGGUGGUGUAUUGGAGGCACGUCAGAUCGUAACUCUGGAAAAGGAGGUUCGAUUCCUUCCCAACCCACCA
rnacentral:tRNA from 2 species